rnacentral:pre_miRNA from 1 species
UCCUGUGACGGGCGAGCUUUUGGCCCGGGUUAUACCUGAUGCUCACGUAUAAGACGAGCAAAAAGCUUGUUGGUCAGAGGA